GCAUAUCAAUAAGCGGAGGAAAAGAAACCAACAGGGAUUGCCUCAGUAACGGCGAGUGAAGCGGCAACAGCUCAAAUUUGAAAUCUGGCCCCCUCGGGGUCCGAGUUGUAAUUUGUAGAAGAUGCUUCGGGUGCGGCCCCGGUCUAAGUUCCUUGGAACAGGACGUCACAGAGGGUGAGAAUCCCGUACGUGCCCGGUGGUCGUGCCCGUGUGAAGCUCUUUCGACGAGUCGAGUUGUUUGGGAAUGCAGCUCAAAAUGGGUGGUAAAUUUCAUCUAAAGCUAAAUAUUGGCCAGAGACCGAUAGCGCACAAGUAGAGUGAUCGAAAGAUGAAAAGCACUUUGGAAAGAGAGUUAAACAGUACGUGAAAUUGUUGAAAGGGAAGCGCUUGCAACCAGACUUGCGCGCGGCCGAUCAUCCGGUGUUCGCACCGGUGCACUCGGCCGCGCGCAGGCCAGCAUCGGUUCGGGUGGCUGGACAAAGGCCUCGGGAAUGUGGCUCCCCUCGGGGAGUGUUAUAGCCCGAGGCGCAAUGCAGCCUACCCGGACCGAGGACCGCGCUUCGGCUAGGAUGCUGGCGUAAUGGUUGUAAGCGACCCGUCUUGAAACACGGACC
rnacentral:rRNA from 2 species